rnacentral:rRNA from 1 species
GAUGAACGCUGGCGGCGUGCCUAAUACAUGCAAGUCGAACGAGGUGCUUGAGUAGCAAUACGAGAGUAUCCUAGUGGCGAACGGGUGAGUAACGCGUUGGUGACCUACCCCAAAGUGUGGGAUAACAGUCCGAAAGGAUUGCUAAUACCGCAUGUGGUCCUCGGGGUUUAGAAACCGAUGACGAAAGCAGCAAUGCGCUUUGGGAGGGACCUGCGUCCCAUCAGCAGUUGGUGAGGUAACGGCUCACCAAGGCGACGACGGGUAGGGGACCUGAGA